UCUUCGUCGUUCCAUUCAAACCAAGAUGAAUCACUUUGUGGGAAGCUUGAUUUGGAUACAUAAACUGGUGGAGAAUCACCAGGAAGUUGAAUAAAUCUCAUAGGAGUUGGCAAGAAGAAGUUAUUCCACUUUCAAAUUAGGUGAUUCCAGUUUCCCAGUUUCAGAAUAGGACAGCUUCUUCGUCGUUCCAAUCAAACCAGGAUGAAUCACUAUGUGAGAAGCUUGAUUUGGAUACAUAAAGUGGUGGAUAAUCACCAGGAAAAUGAAUAAAUCUCAUAGGAGUUGGAUGAAGAAGUUAUCCCACUUUCAAAUCAGGUGAUUCCAGUUUCCCAGUUUGGGACUAGCACAGCUUCUUCGUCGUUCCAAUCGAAACAGGAUGAAUCACUAUGUGAGAAGCUUGAUUUGGAUACAUAAAGUGGUGGAUAAUCACCAGGAAAAUGAAUAAAUCUCAUAGGAGUUGGAUGAAGAAGUUAUCCCAUAGUUGAAUAAAUCUUAUAGGAGUUGGCAAGAAGAAGUUAUCCCACUUUCAAAUCAGGUGAUUCCAGUUUCCCAAUUUGGGAAUAGCACGGCUUCAACGUCGUUCCAAUCAAACCAGGAUGAAUCACUUUUUGAGAAGCUUGAUUUGGAUACAAAAAGUGGUGGAGAAUCACCAGGUAGUUGAAUAAAUCUCAUAGGAGUUGGCAAGAAGAAGUUAUCCCACUUUCAAAUCAGGUAAUUCAGUUUCCCAGUUUGGGAAUAAGACAGCUUCUUCGUCGUUCCAAUCAAACCAGGAUGAAUCUCUUUGUGAGAAACAUGAUUUGGAUACAUAAAGUGGUGGAAAAUCACGAGGAAGUUGAAUAAAUCUCAUAGGAGUUGGCAAGAAGAAGUUAUCCCACUUUCAAAUCAGGUGAUUCCAGUUUCCCAGUUUGGGAAUAACCAGUUUGGGAAUAGGACAGCUUCUUCGUCGUUCCAAUAAAACCAGGAUUAAUCUCUUUGUGAGAAGCUUGAUUUGGAUAAAUAAAGUGGUUCCCAGUUUGGGAAUAGCACAGCUUCAUCGUCGUUCCAAUCGAACCAGGAUGAAUCACUUUGUGACAAGCUUGAUUUGGAUACAUAAAGUGGUGGAGAAUCACCAGGAAGUUGAAUUAAUCUCAUAGUAGUUGGCAAGAAGAAGUUAUCCCACUUUCGAAUCAGGUUAUUCCAGUUUUCCAGUUUGGGAAUAGGACAGCUUCUUCGUCGUUCCAAUAAAACCAGGAUUAAUCUCUUUGUGAGAAGCUUGAUUUGGAUAAAUAAAGUGGUUCCCAGUUUGGGAAUAGCACAGCUUCAUCGUCGUUCCAAUCGAACCAGGAUGAAUCACUUUGUGACAAGCUUGAUUUGGAUACAUAAAGUGGUGGAGAAUCACCAGGAAGUUGAAUAAAUCUCAUAGGAGUUGGCAAGAAGAAGUUAUCCCACUUUCAAAUCACGAUCAUCCAGUUUCCUAGUUUGGAAAUAGGACAGCUUCUUCGUCGUUCCAAUCAAACCAGGAUGAAUCUCUUUGUGAGAAGCUUGAUUUCGAUAUAUAAAGUGGCGGAGAAUCACCAGGAAGUUGAAUAAAUUUCAUAGGAGUUGGCAAGAAGAAGUUAUCCAAUUUUCAAAUCAGUUGAUUUCAGUUUCCCAGUUUGGGAAUAGGACAGCUUCUUCGUCGUUCCAUUCAAACCAAGAUGAAUCACUAGUUUCCCAGUUUGGGAAUUGGACAACUUCUUCGUCGUUCCAAUCACACCACGAUGAAUCACUUUGUAAGAAGCUUGAUUUGGAUACUUAAAAUGGUGGUCACACCACGAUGAAUCACUUUGUAAGAAGCUUGAUUUGGAUAUAUAAAGUGGUGUAGAAUCACAAGGAAGUUGAAUAAAUCUCAUAGGAGCUGGGAUGAAGAAAUUAUCCCACUUUCAAAUCAGGUGAUUCCAGUUUCCCAGUUUGGGAAUAGGAAAGCUUCUGCAUCGUUCCAAUCAAACCACGAUGAAUCACUUUGUAAGAGGCUUGAUUUGGAUACAUAAAGUGGUGUAGAAUCACCAGGAAGUUGAAUAAAUCUCAUAGGAGCUGGGAUGAAGAAGUUAUCCCACAUUCAAACCAGGUGAUUCCAGUUUUGCAGUUUGGGAAUAGGACAGCUUUUGUGUCGUUCCAAUCAAACCAGGAUGAAUGACUUUGUAAAAAGCUUUAUUUGGAUACAUAAAGUGGUCGAGAAUCACCAGGAAGUUGAAUAAAUCUCAUAGGAGCUGGGAUGAAGAAGUUAUCCCACUUUCAAAUCAGGUGAUUCCAGUUUCCCAGUAUGGGAAUAGGACAGCUUCUUCGUCGUUCCAAUCAAACCACAAUGAGUCACUUUGUAAGAAGCUUGAAUUGGAUACAUAAAAUGGUGUAGAAUCACCAGGAAGUUGAAUAAAUCUCAUAGGAGCUGGGAUGAAGAAGUUAUCCCACUUUCAAAUCAGGUGAUUCUAGUUUCGCAGUUUGGGAAUAGGACAGCUUUUAUGUCGUUCCAAUUUAAACCAGGAUGAAUCACUUUGUAAGAAGCUUCAUUUGUAUACAUAAAGUGGUGGAGAAUCACCGGGAAGUUGAAUAAAUCUCAUAACAGCUGGGAUGAAGAAGUUAUCCCACUUUCAAAUCAGGUGAUUCCAGUUUCCCAGUUUCGGAACAAGACAGCUUCUGCGUCGUUCCAAUCAAACCAGGAUGAAUCACUUUGUAAGAAGCUCGCCAAUUUGGGAAUAGGACAGCUUCUGCGUCGUUCCAAUCAAACCAGAAUGAAUCACUUUGUAAGAAGCUUGAUUUGGAUACAUAAAAAAAGUGGUGUAGAAUCACCAGGAAGUUGAAUAAAUCUCAUAGGAGCUGGGAUGAAGAAGUUAUCCCACUUUCAAAUCAGGUGAUUACAGUUUUCCAGUUUGGGAAUAGGACAGCUUCUUCAUCGUUUGGGAUGAAUGAGUUAUCCCACUUUCAAAUCAGGUGAUUCCAGUUUCCCAAUUUGGGAAUAAGACAGCUUCUGCGUCGUUCCAAUCAAACCAGAAUGAAUCACUUUGUAAGAAGCUUGAUUUGGAUACAUAAAGUGUUGGAGAAUCACCAGGAAGUUGAAUUAAUCUCAUAGGAGUUGGGAUGAAUGAGUUAUCCCACUUUCAAAUCAGGUGAUUCCAGUUUCUCAGUUGGGAACAAGACAGCUUUUGCGUCGUUCCAAUCAAACCAGGAUGAAUCACUUUGUAAGAAGCUCCAUUUGGAUACUUAAAAUGGUGGAGAAUCACCAGGAAGUUGAAUAAAUCUCAUAGGAGCUGGGAUGAAGAAGUUAUCCCAGUUUCAAAUCAGGUGAUUCCAGUUUCCCAGUUUGGGAAUAGGACAGCUUCUUCGUCGUUCCAAUCAAACCACGAUGAAUCACUUUGUAAGAAGCUUGAUUUAAAUACAUAAAGUGGUGGAGAAUCACCAGUAAAUUGAAUAAAUCUCCUAGGGGUUGGGAUGAAGAAGUUAUCCCACUUUCAAAUCAGGUGAUUCCAGUUUUGCAGUUUGGGAAUAGGACAGCUUCUACGUCGUUCCAAUUAAACCACGAUGAAUCACUUUGUAAGAAGAUUGAUUUGGAUACAUAAAGUGUUGUAGAAUCACCAGGAAGUUGAAUAAAUCUCAUAGGAGCUGGGAUGAAGAAGUUAUCCCACUUUCAAAUCAGGUGAUCCCAGUUUCCCAAUUUGGGAAUAGGACAGCUUCUGCGUCGUUCCAAUCAAACCAGAAUGAAUCACUUUGUAAGAAGCUUGAUUUGGAUACAUAAAAAAAGUGGUGUAGAAUCACCAGGAAGUUGAAUAAAUCUCAUAGGAGCUGGGAUGAAGAAGUUAUCCCACUUUCAAAUCAGGUGAUUCNNNNNNNNNNNNNNNNNNNNNNNNNNNNNNNNNNNNNNNNNNNNNNNNNNNNNNNNNNNNNNNNNNNNNNNNNNNNNNNNNNNNNNNNNNNNNNNNNNNNNNNNNNNNNNNNNNNNNNNNNNNNNNNNNNNNNNNNNNNNNNNNNNNNNNNNNNNNNNNNNNNNNNNNNNNNNNNNNNNNNNNNNNNNNNNNNNNNNNNNNNNNNNNNNNNNNNNNNNNNNNNNNNNNNNNNNNNNNNNNNNNNNNNNNNNNNNGAAACUGGAAUCACCUGAUUAGAAAGUGGGAUAACUUCUUCAUCCCAACUCCUAUGAGAUUUAUUCAACUUCCUGGUGUUUCUCCACCAUUUUAUGUAUCCAAAUCAAGCUUCUUACAAAGUGAUUCAUCCUGGUUUGAUUGGAACGACGAAGAAGCUGUCAUAUUCCCAAACUGGGAAACUGGAAUCACCUGAUUAGAACGUGGGAUAACUUAUUCAUCCCAACUCCAAUGAGAUUUAUUCAACGGGAUGAAUCACUUUGUAAGAAGCUUGAUUUGGAUACAUAAAAUGGUGGAGAAACACCAGGACGUUGAAUAAAUCUCAUUGGAGUUGGGAUGAAUAAGUUAUCCCACGUUCUAAUCAGGUGAUUCCAGUUUCCCAGUUUGGGAAUAUGACAGCUUCUUCGUCGUUCCAAUCAAACCAGGAUAAAUCACUUUGUAAGAAGCUUGAUUUGGAUACAUAAAAUGGUGGAGAAACAUCAGCAAGUUGAAUAAAUCUCAUAGGAGUUGGGAAUAUGACAGUUUCUUCGUCGUUCCAAUCAAACCAUGAUGAAUCACUUUGUAAGAAGCUUGAUUUGGAUACAUAAAAUGGUGGAGAAACAUCAGUAAGUUGAAUAAAUCUCAUAGGAGUUGGGAUGAAGAAGUUAUCCCACUUUCUAAUCAGGUGAUUCCUGUUUCCCAGUUUGGAAAAGGACAGCUUCUUCGUCGUUCCAAUCAAACCAGGAUGAAUCACUUUGUAAGAAGCUUGAUUUGGAUACAUAAAAUGGUGGAGAAACACCAGCAAGUUGAAUAAAUCUCAUUGGAGUUGGGAUGAAGAAGUUAUCCCACGUUCUAAUCAGGUGAUUCCAGUUUCCCAGUUUGGGAAUAUGACAGCUUCUUCGUCGUUCCAGUCAAACCAGGAUGAAUCACUUUGUAAGAAGCUUGAUUUGGAUAUAUAAAGUGAUGGAGAAUUACCAGGAAGUUGAAUAAAUCUCAUAGGAGUUGGGCUGAAGAAGUUAUCCCACGUUCUAAUCAGGUGAUUCCAGUUUCCAAGUUUGGGAAUAGGACAGCUUCUUCGUCGUUCCAGUCAAACCAGGAUGAAUCACUUUGUAAGAAGCGUGAUUUGGAUACAUAAAGUGUUGGAGAAUCACCAGGAAGUUGAAUAAAUCUCAUAAGAGUUAGGAUGAAGAAGUUAUCCCACUUUCUAAUCAGGUGAUUCCUGUUUCUCAGUUUGGGAAUAUGACAGCUUCUUCGUCGUUCCAAUCAAACCACGUUGAAUCACUUUGUAAGAAGCUUGUUUUGGAUACAUAAAGUGGCGUAGAAUCACCAGAACAUUGAAUAAAUCUCAUAGGAGCUGGGAUGAAGAAGUUAUCCCACUUUCAAAUCAGGUGAUUCCAGUUUCGCAGUUUGGGAAUAGAACAGCUUCGGUGUCGUUCGAAACAAACCAGGAGGAAUCACUUUGUAAGAAGCUUGAUUUGGAUACAUAAAGUGGUAGAGAAUAACCAGGAAGUUGAAUAAAUCUCAUAGGAGCUGGGAUGAAGAUGUUAUCCCACUUUUAAAUCAGGUGAUUCCAGUUUCCCAGUUUGGGAAUAGGACAGCUUCUUCGUCGUUCCAAUCAAACCUCGUUGAAUCACUUUGUAAGAAGCUUGUUUUGGAUACAUAAAGUGGCGUAGAAUCACCAGAACAUUGAAUAAAUCUCAUAGGAGCUGGGAUGAAGAAGUUAUCCCACUUUCAAAUCAGGUGAUUCCAGUUUCCCAGUUUGGGAAUAGGACAGCUUCUUCGUCGUUCCAAUCAAACCUCGUUGAAUCACUUUGUAAGAAGCUUGAUUUGGAUACAUAAAGUGGUGUAGAAUCACCAGGAAGUUGAAUAAAUCUCAUAGGAGUUGGGAAUAUGACA
rnacentral:lncRNA from 1 species